UGCAACAGCAAUAUGCUAUCUGGUUAGUUAUUUAUCGCAUGAUGAGUAAUAGAAAGGAGCUUCACAGCUUCACUUAAAAAUGGGGGUGCGGAACAUUAGUUAGUUGGUAGGGUAAUGGCCUACCAAGACGAUGAUGUUUAGCCGGGCCGAGAGGCUGUACGGCCACACUGGGACUGAGAUACGGCCCAGACUCCUACGGGAGGCAGCAGUAAGGAAUUUUCCACAAUGAGCGAAAGCUUGAUGGAGCGACACAGCGUGCAGGAUGAAGUUCUUCGGAAUGUAAACUGCUGUUAUAAGGGAAGAAAAAAUAGAAUAGGAAAUGAUUUUAUCUUGACGGUACCUUAUUAGAAAGCGACGGCAAACUAUGUGCCAGCAGCCGCGGUAAUACAUAGGUCGCAAGCGUUAUCCGGAAUUAUUGGGCGUAAAGCGUCCGUAGGUUUUUUGCUAAGUCUGGAGUUAAAUGCUGAAGCUCAACUUCAGUCCGCUUUGGAUACUGGCAAAAUAGAAUUAUAAAGAGGUUAGCGGAAUUCCUAGUGAAGCGGUGGAAUGCGUAGAUAUUAGGAAGAACACCAAUAGGCGAAGGCAGCUAACUGGUUAUAUAUUGACACUAAGGAACG
rnacentral:rRNA from 1 species